rnacentral:rRNA from 1 species
GUAGUCUGCAACCCGACUACAUGAAGCCGGAAUCGCUAGUAAUCGCGGAUCAGAAUGCCGCGGUGAAUACGUUCCCGGGUCUUGUACACACCGCCCGUCACACCAUGGGAGUCGGAAAUGCCCGAAGCCGGUGACCCAACCCGAAAGGGAGGGAGCCGUCGAAGGCAGGUCGGAUGACUGGGGUGAAGUCGUAACAAGGUAGC